AUGGAUAGGGAAAGGAAGGAGCUGAGGAAGAGGAGGACAUCGGGCCAUUUGAGGUAUCCUGAACUUAAGAGGCAGAAGCAACGUAACCCUUAUGUUGCUGCUAGAUCUACCUCUCCUGACUGCAAUUUCUGGGACAACAGACAGAAAGAGCUAUAUGAUCAGUUCUGUCAUGAGAAGAAAGUGUUUAAGCAUAGAUUUGUGGAGUGGUCAGAUAUAGCUGAUGCUGAAACAUGCCCUUUUGAUUUGUCCACUAAGUAUGAGGAUCUUGGUCUCAAAGGUCUAACCAGCAACAAUUCAUCUUGGGUUUGGAAUGAAGAGGUCGUGAGACAGUUUUAUGGCACCCUUUAUGUUGAUCCUGAUCGCAGGGAAAUGCAUUUCAUGAUAGGCUCACAGCAUUGUUUUGCUACCAAGGAAGAUCUUGAAAAGGCCUUGCUAAUUGAGCCUAGAGCUGACAGCCUUGUUUUGCACACAUGGGAUGAUUUUGAUGUUUAUUCUCUCUUUCGAGUACCUAAUCCCGACAUUGGUCUAGUUAGGGAUCUUAAAACUGAAGUUGAUCUCAUCCAAAGGAUAAAUCGACAUACAAUUUUUCCUAAAUCAGGAAAUCGAGGUGGAUGCACCACCAUGCUUCUCAAGCUUGCCUAUGCCAUUUACCACGGAAAGCAGUUUGACAUUGCUCAUUUCCUCCUCAGUGAGAUGUGUGAGGCCAUUGACACUGUAAAUCAUGCACUGCCAUAUGCACCUCUUAUAUUUUGUCUUCUUCGCCAUCUGAAGUGUGACCUUACAAACAUUGAUACCAAAUGCUGCCUCAAGAAGUACUCCCUGCACCUUGCAAGCUUGAAUCGUGAACAACGUGCUGCCUCAGCUGAGCAUGAAGUUAUAGAGGUGCAGCACCAGCAGCCCAUGUCCUAUUCUCAUCAGCUACCGCAACCAGUUAAUCCUGAACCAGUUAAUCCUGAUUCAACAGUUGCCAGCAAUGCUCAACUUUCAAAACUGAUAGAGGGGUUGCACGAGAAAGUUGUGAAAGGAUUCGAGGCAAUUGAGAAACGACUUUACACAAUGGAAGUUCUCUUCUCAGUCUUAUCUUCAGAAGUUAGUGAGAUGAAAGCUUGUAUGCUUGAUCCUUGUCAUGCGCUGAACGGCGACAAACAAAAAAGGGCACAAGCUGAAGCUCAUCAAGGUGGCGAUGGUCCUUCUGCAGCAGCUGAUCCAUAG
rnacentral:rRNA from 1 species